rnacentral:rRNA from 13 species
AGGUGCGAUCAUACCAGCACUAAUGCACCGGAUCCCAUCAGAACUCCGCAGUUAAGCGUGCUUGGGCGAGAGUAGUACUAGGAUGGGUGACCUCCUGGGAAGUCCUCGUGUUGCACUUU